UGCAGGUCAACGCAACUUUAGAAGAGGUAACAGCUGCAGCAGAUGGAAUGUCAGAUAAAGAAUUCAGGAUAUACAUGCUUCAGAUGAUCUGGAGUAUCAAGGAAGACAUUAAACAGCAAAAUCAGACAUUCCAUCUGCUGCAGCUGUUACCUCUUCUAAAGUUGCGUUGACCUGCA
rnacentral:miRNA from 1 species